rnacentral:lncRNA from 1 species
CUUCGUAACUUCUCUGGUUCUGUUUUAUUCAUUAUAAUCCUCAAAAACCCUGAAAGAAACAGAAUAACCUUUUUAUUGACCCACUCAAGUUAUUUAAUUUUUAUGUUUCCCUAGCCCAUAUCUGUUCACGUAUAGCUGAAAAUAAAAAAGAAACGGUGGAUUGAAAUUGAAGGGAAAUAGACAAUAGUUAUUGUUCCUAGCUUAAUUGGGAGAGAAAGCCAGAGUAAAAUAAGAGUCUAUUGCAGCUAAGAGGAAGAAGUUCUUUAGUCUCAACCAAAUAUGUAAAUAUAACAUCUCUCUUCUAAUAUUUUUAGUGCUAAUUCCUAGUAUAGAGCUGAUUAAGGGUGGGGGAAGCACAUAUUUAAUGGCCAUUAUUAUGCUAUUCUGAGGAAAAUUCUCUCAGUGUCUAAUAUUUUAAAAAUGGGUUUUAAUUAGAUCUUAUCAGCAACCCUAAAAUGCAACUUUUCUCACCCUCCAGAAAACAAAACAAAACAAAACAAAACUCACACCAUCCCCAAAACUAGGCUUGAUGAAUAACCACAUGGAAAAUAUGGAAAGAUGUUUCAUUAACCACACGGCAGAUGGAACUAGGUGGGAGGAAAACCUACCACAGCUUCUCUUAAUGGCAUAUUCAGGCUUUACUUCAGAAAAGGGAAGCAUCUAAAAAAGAUUGGAAGAAUUUCUCACCACUCUGCAGGCAGCUGUCUCCUCCCAGCACCCAGGACCUGAACUCAGAAACUACCAGCAACACAGACGUGAGUCAUUCUUGCUGCUAUGCAGUUACCCUUAGUGCUGUCCACCCCUCGUCCCAUCCCUCUUUUAAUCUAUAUUCAUUCAGAGAAAGGAGCUUAAAAAGCAAGCAAAGAAAAAUCACCUGUGCGGAAAGUAGAAGAAACUGCUGCUGGCUCAUCGCAUUUUAGGAAAAACAAUGCGCACGAGUAAAGCAGUCUUAGUAAGAGAAGAGUAGGAAAGAAACACGCUUAGCAGCAUGUUAGAAACUAGUUUCUCGUGCCCUCCUUGGACUCAGAAUACAAUACCAGAGAACAAUCAGAUAAGGCAGGAAAAGUUAGAAGUUUGGGGAAAUAGAGCUUCCGUAGGCAACUGUGAGGAAUCAGGAACAGGCUGGGAGCAGGCACUGCCCACCUGUCCUACCCCGAGAGCACCAGGAUAGGACUCCACACAGGAGGACCGGACCUCGAUGAUGAGCUCACCCUCGCUCUUAACAAGCACUGGCUCUCUACAGAUGUCACUUCCUUUAAGGAUGAGAACUCCGGGUGAGGACGACAAGAGCUGAGCUCGGGUGCUUGCCUUCUGCACUCUCGGGAGGAGGCACCAGCAUGGGCACCCUUCACAGUUCGGGCCCCUCACUCACAAACGUCUGGCACAUGGAAACAAGCUGGCAAAAAGAUUGUUUUUUUCUUCUGUACUUUUUGUUAUAAGCCUGUGGUGAAGUGUCCAUAUCUGGCAUAAAUGAAUGUGAGUGGUCUUGGGAAUCUAAAUAUAACAUGUUUCUAAGUUACA